rnacentral:rRNA from 1 species
UGGGGAAUUUUCCGCAAUGGGCGAAAGCCUGACGGAGCAAGACCGCGUGAGGGAGGAAGGCCUACUGGUUGUAAACCUCUUUUGAUAGGGAAGAACACAAUGACGGUACCUAUCGAAUCAGCCUCGGCUAACUCCGUGCCAGCAGCCGCGGUAAUACGGAGGAGGCAAGCGUUAUCCGGAAUUAUUGGGCGUAAAGCGUCCGUAGGUGGUUUAUCAAGUCAGUUGUUAAAGAGUGGAGCUUAACUCCAUAAGGGCAAUUGAAACUGAUAGGCUAGAGUGCGAUAGGGGCAAGGGGAAUUCCCAGUGUAGCGGUGAAAUGCGUAGAUAUUGGGAAGAACAUCGGUGGCGAAAGCGCCUUGCUGGGUCUGCACUGACACUGAGGGACGAAAGCUAGGGGAGCGAAAGGGAUUAGAUACCCCUGUAGUCA